CUGGAACUUAAAGUAUAAUAAUAAUUAAAAAAAAAAAGAAAUACAUGGUCACAAAUUUAAAGUGAGAUCACUUAGCAUAACUGUGGCAUUUCUUUUCUAGCAGUGCUCAGCUGCCUAAGGACAGGCACAAGAGAGGUGAAUGGUUGAAUUCAAUGAGAAAUGGCACAUCCCAGUUGAGUAACUUUGCCAUGGGAGAUGGGCAGAAGAGGUGUUUGCAAAGGAACCAUUAUACUGAGGAACAAGUGGAUCUAAACUGUGUGGAGGGAAGUGAGGACCUGAGAAAGGUGACAGACGAUGAAAAAGUAGUAGAAUGAAUGGAUCGCCAGUCUCCAAAGAUAUCAAAGUGUUGGUAUCCUGGGAUUUUAAAGUACAUGGGCUGGAAAGUGGUGGUCAGGGAAGUGCACCUUGAUGGGAAUUUGAACUUCUUCCUUCAUGGUUCAUUUUGCAGGUGGAAGAUGGGUGCUCGUGAGUCUAAGGAAGUGGGUUCAGUCUUGUUGAGGUUCAUCUGUGUCAACCCGCAGUAAAACAAAUGGCAAUGUGAACCCACCAAAUGCCUGCAUUAUACGUGUGCAAGAGAGUUGCCUGCCUCUGAUCAUUCAAAGGGAACGUGGAAAAGGGAGAAGGACAUCCCUUUCAGAUGGGAGCCAGGAGAUGUUGGCCCAAAGUCCCUUUCUUCCUCCCUCCUGCAGGUGGCAACAGGUCUUCGACUGCAUCAUAAAAGCUGAAACGUGUUGGCGCAGAGGGCUUCAUAAUUUGAUCACAUAAUCACCAGGAGAGAAGGGUUGUUGCUUUACGGUGAUCCACUUCGUGGGUGUUCUUUCAAUUAGCGUGUAGUUCCGCAUCAUCAUGAAAAACGGGCGCAAUGUCAUGCAUUUGAGAUAUCUUUAAAGAUGAGGCUUUAUAGACUGGUUUGCUGUUUGAUUUUUAUUUAUUUAUUUGUUUCUGGUAAUGUUGUUAUAUCAUUCUGUGAGGCCCUAACCUUCCUCUUGAUUUACCUCUUUGGAGAGUAAAUGAACUUCAAAGGAUGCCAGGUUCGCAUUUCUGGUUCAAUUCAAGCCUUUGGCUCUGACUGUUUUUCUCUAUCCAAACCAAGGCUUUCACUGAGCGUGAGCUGCUGGGCUCAGAGGCUCCAGGUGAGGGUGCUUGGGCAGUGACUGGCAAGCUUCUUCUCUUGGCUUGACCUGUGAACUUCCUUCUUUCCUUCUGGUUUCCUGCAAGCAGCUCUUGAAGGUGGUGGCUCAGCUGAAGAAGAAAAUCUUCAGUGAGGAGAGAGGUCUGUUCUGUUUUGUUUUGGUUUUUUCUUUUUUUUUUUUUUUUUUUUUUUGAGAUGGAAUCUCACUCUGUCACUCAGGCUGGAGUGCAGUGGUGCAAUCUUGGCUUACUGCAACCUCCGCCUCCCAGGUUCAAGUGAUUCUCCUGCCUCAGCCUCCCAAGUACCUGGGACUACAGGCGCCUGCCACCACGCCCCGCUAAUUUUUUGUAUUUUUAGUAGAGAAGGGAUUUCACCAUAUUGGCCAGGCUGGUCUUGAACUCCUGACCUCAAGUGAUCUGCCUGCUUCGGCCUCCCAAAGUGAGAGGUCUGUUCUUUAAUCUGGGUGCUCCAGGGCGGCAGGGCUGUGCACCUGAUAACUUCCAGACAUGCUCAGAAGGUCCUUCAUCAGGGCACAGGGGACUCACAGUGUCUGCUGUGAUACUGGGCCAUCAUCUCCCGGCUACCAUCUCAAAGAAAUGUUCUACCUUUUCCACGUUCCCGUUGAAUGAUCAGAGGCAGACAAUUCUCUUUGACACGUAUGAUAAUGCAGGCAUUUGCUGGAUUGGCACUGCCCCUUGUUUUGCUACAGGCUUACAGAGAUGAACUUUUAGGAGAGACAAUCCCUAAAGAUGAG
rnacentral:lncRNA from 1 species